GAUGAACGCUGGCUACAGGCUUAACACAUGCAAGUCGAGGGGAAACGACGGGGAAGCUUGCUUCCCCGGGCGUCGACCGGCGCACGGGUGAGUAACGCGUAUCCAACCUGCCUCUGACUGAGGGAUAACCCGUCGAAAGUCGGCCUAAUACCUCAUGGCAUCGUCUGCGGGCAUCCAACGACGAUUAAAGAUUUCAUCGGUCAGAGAUGGGGAUGCGUCUGAUUAGCUUGUUGGCGGGGUAACGGCCCACCAAGGCUACGAUCAGUAGGGGUUCUGAGAGGAAGGUCCCCCACAUUGGAACUGAGACACGGUCCAAACUCCUACGGGAGGCAGCAGUGAGGAAUAUUGGUCAAUGGGCGAGAGCCUGAACCAGCCAAGUAGCGUGCAGGAAGACGGCCCUAUGGGUUGUAAACUGCUUUUAUGCGGGGAUAAAGUGAGGGACGUGUCCUUCAUUGCAGGUACCGC
rnacentral:rRNA from 1 species